rnacentral:rRNA from 1 species
GGUACAAGUGGGGCGGGACGCCUGACCAGCCAAGUCGCGUGAGGGAAGACGGUCCUAUGGAUUGUAAACCUCUUUUGUCGGGGAGCAAAGAGGCCACGUGUGGUCAAAAGCGAGAGUACCCGAAGAAAAAGCAUCGGCUAACUCCGUGCC